GGGCCUAUAGUUCAAUGGAUAGAACACUUGGCUUCGGACCAAGCGAUCCAGGUUCGAGUCCUGGUAGGCCCA
rnacentral:tRNA from 1 species